UACGGGGGGAGCAAGCGUUGUUCGGAUUUAUUGGGCGUAAAGGGUGCGUAGGCGGCGGAGUAAGUUGGGUGUGAAAUCCCGGGGCUCAACCUCGGAAUGGCAUUCAAUACUGCUUCGCUAGAGUACUGGAGAGGAGGCUGGAAUUUACGGUGUAGCAGUGAAAUGCGUAGAUAUCGUAAGGAAGGCCGGUGGCGAAAGCGAGCCUCUGGACAGUUACUGACGCUGAUGCACGAAGGCCAGGGGAGCAAACGGG
rnacentral:rRNA from 1 species